UACGUAGGGCGCAAGCGUUGUCCGGAAUUAUUGGGCGUAAAGAGCUCGUAGGCGGCUUGUCACGUCGGGGUGUGAAAGCCCCGGGGGCUUAACCCCGGGGUCUGCAUUCGAUACGGGCUAGCUAGAGUGUGGUAGGGGAGAUCGAAUUCCUGGUGUAGCGGUGAAAUGCGCAGAUAUCAGGAGGAACACCGGUGGCGAAGGCGGGCCUCUGGGCCGAUACUGACGCUGAGGAGCGAAAAGCGUGGGGGAGCAAACAGG
rnacentral:rRNA from 1 species